ACUUUUUAUGUAGUGUACUAUCAGUUAAUAUGUUGCCAUGUGCUGUUUGUUGAAUUACUGUUAAAAUAUAUUAUUAAAAUUUAUAUUAAAUCAAAUUGAAUUAAUUUCAUUCUCCUACAUUAAAUAAUGAUGUGUAUUCAAUAUUCUUUAUUAGGGCUGGCCAGAACCCUGGUACAGAAUAUACAUGUUAAUAUUCUGUACCAGGUCUGUCACGUCAUUAAGAGCCAUAUAAGAAAAUCUCAAAUAUUUGAGUCGCAGUCAGUUUCUUUUUGGGUCAGUGAGAGCCAUAUCAGUUUUUCAGUUAAUCUUAACAAUGGUUUCAAAAUCAUUUAUUAUAUAUUUUACAUGCAUUUAUCUCAUUUAAAUGUAUACUAUAUUUUACAAUAAAUAAACAAAUUACAAAAUAUAUUUUUUAAAAUUGAAUAGGUAUUUGCUCUGUAUUAGCUAUUGAAUUUUAUGCUAUGGAGCCGCAUUGAAGGUACCAAAGAGCUGCAAUUUGGCCACCAUUGAUCUAUACUCUUCAUCCAUAGCUUCUUUCUAGAUUAUUGCAUUGAUAGAGUUUAAAGCUUCUUCAACUGCAGAUGGAUUUCUGUUCUUUACAGUUUGAUAUUUGAUGAAAUCUGUUAUCAACUCUUGCUUUGCUUUAAAUUAUUCCAUGCUUAACAAGUUGAUAAAGUUGUCUGAAUGUGUGGUGUGGCAUUUGGCAUUAGAGAAAGAGAGAUUUAUGCCUUGACCUUUGAGGAACUGAAACAUGAAAAGAAAAUAAAAAACUUUCUUUUCAUCUGUUUCAGUUCCUUCACUGCAUUCCCAAAGAUCUUCAUGAAUCAAAUAAUUUUCUAUAUUAAAUUUCCAAGUUUAGUAGUCAGUCAUUCCUUCUAAUUUUUCAAAGUUUGAGAGAUUUCCACUUAAAUGUUGAGAUGAAAUAUUUAUUUAAAAUUAAAAAAAAUCUUUAUUUAUAAAAUCAUGUAGUUUUUCUUUCUUAUUGAUGAUUAGUUUUCAAUAUUUGGCUUGGGCCCAUAACUUGUUAGUGCUGCUGAUAAAGAAUUUGGAGAGAGAGACGAAAUACACUUUCACUACAUCAUGAAGUAGAACAAAAAGGAAAGAACUUUAUUCAAAUAGAGAGCUAAAGACGCAUGUAUCAUUUGGCAGUAAAAUAGCAAAAACAAUUAUUUAUUAACAAUAUAAUUUAGUACCCUUAUCAACAGGUGAUUUGUGCAUAGGCAUUGCAGAACUUCAGCACCUCAAUUUUUCUCAAUAUAUAAAUAUAUUUAUUAAUUUAUUUAUAUUUGUUUAUAAUAUUUAAUUUUAUCACCAACAAUUCUAU
rnacentral:lncRNA from 1 species